UUUUCACGACCCUCAAGUCGAUGUUGUCUUUAUUUUCUCAACCCCAAGUUGAUUUGUUCUCGACCCCCCGAGUCGAUGUUGUCAUUUUAUUUUCUCAACCCUCGAGUUGGUAUGUUCUCGACCCCUGAGUCGAUGUCGAUGUUGUUGUCUUUAUUUCCUCGACCCCGAGUCGAUGUCUUUAUCUUUAUUUUAUUAACCCCCGAGUUGAUAUGUUUUCGACCCCUGAGCUGAUAUCAUUGUAUUUAUUUCCUCGACCCCU
rnacentral:lncRNA from 1 species